rnacentral:rRNA from 1 species
AUUGAACGCUGGCGGCAUGCUUUACACAUGCAAGUCGAACGGUAACAGGUCUUCGGAUGCUGACGAGUGGCGAACGGGUGAGUAAUACAUCGGAACGUGCCUAGUAGUGGGGGAUAACUACUCGAAAGAGUAGCUAAUACCGCAUGAGAUCUACGGAUGAAAGCAGGGGACCUUCGGGCCUUGUGCUACUAGAGCGGCUGAUGGCAGAUUAGGUAGUUGGUGGGGUAAAGGCUUACCAAGCCUGCGAUCUGUAGCUGGUCUGAGAGGACGACCAGCCACACUGGGACUGAGCCACGGCCCAGACUCCUACGGGAGGCAGCAGUGGGGAAUUUUGGACAAUGGGCGAGAGCCUGAUCCAGCAAUGCCGCGUGCAGGAUGAAGGCCCUCGGGUUGUAAACUGCUUUUGUACGGAACGAAAAGCCUGGGGCUAAUAUCCCCGGGUCAUGACGGUACCGUAAGAAUAAGCACCGGCUAACUACGUG